rnacentral:rRNA from 1 species
AUUGAACGCUGGCGGCAUGCCUCACACAUGCAAGUCGAACGGUAACAGGUUAAGCUGACGAGUGGCGAACGGGUGAGUAAUACAUCGGAACGUGCCCAGUAGUGGGGGAUAGCCCGGCGAAAGCCGGAUUAAUACCGCAUACGAUCUGAGGAUGAAAGCGGGGGCCCGUAAGGCCUCGCGCGAUCGGAGCGGCCGAUGUCAGAUUAGGUAGGUGGUGGGGUAAAGGCUCACCAAGCCAACGAUCUGUAGCUGGUCUGAGAGGACGACCAGCCUCACUGGGACUGAGACACGGCCCAGACUCCUACGGGAGGCAGCAGUGGGGAAUUUUGGACAAUGGGCGAAAGCCUGAUCCAGCAAUGCCGCGUGCAGGAAGAAGGCCUUCGGGUUGUAAACUGCUUUUGUACGGAGCGAAAAGGUCUCCUCUAAUACAGGGGGCUCAUGACGGUACCGUAAGAAUAAGCACCGGCUAACUACGUGCCAGCCGCCGCCGUGA